rnacentral:rRNA from 1 species
CGGACGGGUGAGUAACACGUGAGAAUCUGCCCUCGGGAGGGGGACAACCGCUGGAAACGGCGGCUAAUACCCCAUAAGCCCACGGGUGAAAGUUCCGGCGCCCGAGGAGGAGCUCGCGUCCGAUUAGCUAGUUGGUGGGGUAAGAGCCUACCAAGGCGACGAUCGGUAGCUGGUCUGAGAGGAUGAGCAGCCACACUGGGACUGAGACAGGGCCCAGACUCCUACGGGAGGCAGCAGUGGGGAAUUUCCCGCAAUGGGCGAAAGCCUGACGGAGCUAGACCGCGUGAGGGAAGAAGGCCCUUGGGUCGUAAACCUCUUUCCUCUGGGAAGACCCCCGACGGUACCCGAGGAAUCAGCCUCGGCUAACUCCGUGCCAGCAGCCGCGGUAAUACGGAGGAGGCAAGCGUUAUCCGGAAUUAUUGGGCGUAAAGCGUUCGCAGGUGGCUUUUCAAGUCCGCGGUUAAAGCCCGGGGCUCAACCCCGGUUCGGCCGUGGAAACUGAAAGGCUAGUGCGCGGCAGGGGUAGAGGGAAUUCCCAGUGUAGCGGUGAAAUGCGUAGAGAUUGGGAAGAACACCGGUGGCGAAAGCGCUCUACUGGGCCGACGCUGACACUCAGGGACGAAAGCUAGGGGAGCGAAAGGGAUUAGAUAGCCCUGUAGUCCUAGCCGUAAACGAUGGAUACUAGGCGUGGCUCGUCUCGACCCGAGCCGUGCCGAAGCCAACGCGUUAAGAAUCCCGCCUGGGGAGUACGCGCGCAAGCGUGAAACUCAAAGGAAUGACGGGGGCCCGCACAAGCGGUGGAGGAUGUGGUUUAAUUCGAUGCAACGCGAAGAACCUUACCAGGGCUUGACAUCCGGCGAAUCUCGCGGAAACGCGAGAGUGCCUUCGAGAACGCCGUGACAGGUGGUGCAUGGCUGUCGUCAGCUCGUGUCGUGAGAUGUUGGGUUAAGUCCCGCAACGAGCGCAACCUUCGUCCUUAGUUGCCAGCCUUAAGUGGGGAACUCUAGGGAGA